rnacentral:lncRNA from 1 species
ACAUGCUCUCAUGUUUUGAAUGUGCUGUUUUUCCCAUUUGCUGAAGAAGCCAACUUUGUUGAUACUAAGAAAAGAAACGAGUAGCUCAAGCCUCCCUUUAGGCUGAAUGCAGGUAUAGUUAAUGCAGGAAUACAUUCAAUGGAUAGUGUUUGUCUAAAACUAAAAAAAGAAAAAAAUCCCCCAGAACGCUGUACAUGAGCACUAGGAAAGAAAUCUGCAUGGAUGACUCUUCCUAAGAGCUGCAAAUAUUGUAGGAUAUUUUUUUAAAUGGAAGUAUUUCUCCACCUGCUGGCUUCAAGGAGGAUAUUGCAGCCUUCCAAACAGACAACUUCAUACAGGCAGUGGAAUACCUGCAUAAUAAAAGUCUGUUUGGGAUCAACAACAUUUCUGUGCUGAUACUCUGGAACUGCUGCAUCUGUAAAAACACUCCUGUUGUGAGGCCCUAAAGAACUCCUCCUAGAAAAGUGCAACCAAAGAAUAACCAAAAAUGAUGAUAAUUCAAUGUGAUGUAAGCAAUGCCACAGUUGAAGACUGCUCUCCAGAAGAGACCAAAAUCACAGCAGUGUUUGCUAACAAGGCUAUAACUUCACAUGAUUGGCACUGUAGUUUUGAGGAAAUUUCAACAUGUUGGUCAUUUCACAAGAAAUUGCAAGUAGUUUUGUUAGGUAAAUGUUGAUCAUUUGACAGAAGUUAGAUAGCAAUAUCUAUUCAGUAUUCAGUGUUGCACUAGAGAAGACAUUUAUGCUAUAAUAAAACAAUGUAAUUCUGAUAACCA